ensembl:antisense Arl4aos ADP-ribosylation factor-like 4A, opposite strand
GGCGCAGACGGGCGGGGCUUCGGCCGCCGGUUCUCGGUCUUUCUGCCGCCCCAGUCUGGGUGCCUGAGGGCGUCGUCCGUACCGCCCCUCUUCCUGUCACCCUAGGGCGGCCUCUGGGCGACGGCGGCGUUGAUUCACGGUCCUUGAUGUUGGAGGACACUGGCCGGGUGGGUCCCUUACGUCACGUCACUAGGCAGCCUGGGGGAGCCUGCGCUGCCGCCCUCCCCAGCAUGUGCUGGCUAGAAUGGUAGCCUACCUUUUGUAAGCCAAGCACUACCUCCUAAGUGAGUCUAGCCACGCCCCACAAGUUGAAACUGGAACCAAUGCCCCUCUUACAGAGGAAGAAACGCACUUUGGAAACGCUAAAUAUUUCCAGUAGCCCAAGAAGAACUGGUGAUGAAGCCACAGCUGUCAUAGACACAAAGCAGGUGAGAUCUGACAACACUGAGACUCCAUCCAGCCUUGCAGAAAACAUCUUGCUGAACUGCACUUCAGUGUGUUACUCUGAGCUUUUGACUAGAACAGUCACUAGCAGCCUGCAGCCUGUGAGUUGAAUUUGAGAGAUAAGUAUUUUUCACGUGUCUUUAAGAACUCCAAAGGAAAGAAAGACUAUUUAAUAUAGAUAGACCAUCUGUGCCCCUACAAAGCUUCAAUUAUUUGGCAUCUACUGCUAUAUAGAAAAAUGUUUGGUAUGCUUUAUCUAUAAGCAAUAAUAUUCAUAUAAAAACAGCAGCAAAUGAUUAAAAAGCCAC